rnacentral:rRNA from 1 species
CACGUAGGGUGCGAGCGUUGUCCGGAAUUAUUGGGCGUAAAGAGCUCGUAGGCGGUGUGUCGCGUCGGCCGUGAAAACCUGCAGCUUAACUGUGGGCUUGCGGUCGAUACGGGCAUCACUGGAGUUCGGCAGGGGAGACUGGAAUUCCUGGUGUAGCGGUGAAAUGCGCAGAUAUCGGGAGGAACACCAGUAGCGAAGGCGACACUCUGGGCCGGUACUGACGCUGAGGAGCGAAAGCGUGGGGAGCAAACAGG